GGGGGGAUUAUUCAACUUUCCAAU
rnacentral:misc_RNA from 1 species